rnacentral:rRNA from 1 species
AGAAUGCAAGUCGAACUAGCAGCACGGGGGCAACCCUGGUGGCGAGUGGCGAACGGGUGAGUAAUACAUCGGAACGUGUCCUGGAGUGGGGGAUAGCCCGGCGAAAGCCGGAUUAAUACCGCAUACGCUCUAUGGAGGAAAGCGGGGGAUCUUCGGACCUCGCGCUCAAGGGGCGGCCGAUGGCGGAUUAGCUAGUUGGUGGGGUAAAGGCCUACCAAGGCGACGAUCCGUAGCUGGUCUGAGAGGACGACCAGCCACACUGGGACUGAGACACGGCCCAGACUCCUACGGGAGGCAGCAGUGGGGAAUUUUGGACAAUGGGGGCAACCCUGAUCCAGCAAUGCCGCGUGUGUGAAGAAGGCCUUCGGGUUGUAAAGCACUUUUGUCCGGAAAGAAAACCUUUGCCCUAAUACGGUGGGGGGAUGACGGUACCGGAAGAAUAAGCACCGGCUAACUACGUGCCAGCAGCCGCGGUAAUACGUAGGGUGCAAGCGUUAAUCGGAAUUACUGGGCGUAAAGCGUGCGCAGGCGGUUUGCUAAGACCGAUGUGAAAUCCCCGGGCUUAACCUGGGAACUGCAUUGGUGACUGGCAGGCUAGAGUAUGGCAGAGGGGGGUAGAAUUCCACGUGUAGCAGUGAAAUGCGUAGAGAUGUGGAGGAAUACCGAUGGCGAAGGCAGCCCCCUGGGCCAAUACUGACGCUCAUGCACGAAAGCGUGGGGAGCAAACAGGAUUAGAUACCCUGGUAGUCCACGCCCUAAACGAUGUCAACUAGUUGUUGGGGAUUCAUUUCCUUAGUAACGAAGCUAACGCGUGAAGUUGACCGCCUGGGGAGUACGGUCGCAAGAUUAAAACUCAAAGGAAUUGACGGGGACCCGCACAAGCGGUGGAUGAUGUGGAUUAAUUCGAUGCAACGCGAAAAACCUUACCUACCCUUGACAUGGACGGAAUCCUGCUGAGAAAUGGGCGUGCUCGAAGAGAACCGUCGCACAG